rnacentral:lncRNA from 1 species
GCCAUCUUGGUAACUAAAGUUAAUUUGAAAGGGUUGGCACAUCAUAUAAAUUCAAGGACUAUUCAUUCUUUUAAUGCCACCUGGGUAUGGAUCAUCUACAGUGUUCAUCCUAAGAUACUGGGAAUUAUUGUCUCAUAUCUGAUUCCCUUGACCUGUGCAGUUGUUGUGUUUCAGUCUAAAGAACUCGAAGCAGCAAGACUGUAUUCCGAAUCACCUGUUCUGGGGAAGAUGCCAGUCAAUAAUGUCUUAUUGAAAGACCGGGCCCAGCUAAAGAAAAUGAAGGAAUUGAGCUGCAGUUGGAUUUCAUCAUCUAAACAUGCAAUACACCAGGGAAGCCCUGCAAAUUGAAAUCACUGCAAACUGAGGCCAAACUAAAGCAAGUUGAAAACCCAAAAGAAUAGUCAACAGAAAGGUCAUUGUUUGGAACUUCUAGCAACUCUCAAAGGUUCCAGUUGGCUCCCAUUUGCUGAUUCAUGGACCCUCCUGGGAAGUCUUCAAGAAUUAACAUGGUUUUAAAGAAGUGAAAAAGUAAGAUUAAAAUGUUAGUAAGAGAAGCAAAACAAAGUGAGGAGAAUUAGGAAUCAAAUUUGAUUUUUUUUUUGUCUAUCAUCAUGAAUUUAAAAUUGGGAGUUACUAUUUAGUUAAUUUCAAGAAUAUUUCAAGUAUUAGGGAUUUGAAGAAGAUACAGUUUCUUUUGCUUUGCUAUUGGGUUCAAUUUAAGUUCUGUUAAAUCUCUAAAAAUCAAUAUUAAGUAUAUGUAUUAUGUGACAGUUCCAUCUAAAGUAUCUCGUAUAGAAUAUAGGGCAGAUACAAUGGAGCGGCCAAGCACAUGUAAUUUACCCCACAAAUCUAAAGCACUUCUACAUUGAUUUUUUUUUUUUUUUUGCAGUUUUCUAGCCCCCAGUCACUGAACAGAGAAAAGAUGGCUUACUUUCAUAGCAUGGUGAUACUUAACAGCUACAAAAUGUUCAUCUGUCAUGCCCUCUAAUUCAGGACUGUCUUUUUGUUACCUUUCUUGAUAGGCUUUUUUAGGUCAUUUAAAAAAUUCUUGUCUUCUCUAAAAUGUUAUGACAAGAAAAUCAAAUGGUUUUUAAAAUGUUCUGAUUUGUUGAUUAAUUUUGCCUCUAAAAUUAUAUUAUACUAGUGUUGUUUUUAAUGCUUUAACUAUUUCCAAAUGUAAUUAUCUUGAAAUAACUAUGAAUAGAAAAUUGUGUAUAACUGAAAAGACAGGCUUUCAUAAUGUAUUAAAGUACCUAAUUUAGUAACUAAGAAUAAAAAGGACACACAGAAACCAUUUUUGAGACUGUAAUUAUAAGU